rnacentral:misc_RNA from 1 species
UUAAAACCUCGUUAAAAGAACUAUAAUCGCAAUCUGAAAUGUUCAAUCUCUUUUAACAAUAUUCCCUGCACACGAAUGUCCCUACACGAGGACAACCACUCUCCCCCACUAGCCAUGACAGGGGAGGCUAUUCUGCCUGAGUUUCGCUUGUCUCCCCCACGUCCCCCUCCCGCACUGCUGCACAGCAGGCAACAGGUGGUGAGCGGGCGGGUGGCGGCGCUGUGCAGCAUCUACCUGUGACUGGCUGCUGAUGGCGGUGAGGGCGUCGUUGCCCACGUCUGGCGGCCAGUCGCACAGCUUCACGCGCCGCCAACAAAAUCUUUGCCACAAGCACGCGGCCAUGACAGCGGCUCUCUGAGCUCCGUGUCACAGGUACCCUGUCUCCAACACCAACACCAACACACCCGGCACCACGACUAGACAGCCAGCUUCUCCGCACUGCCACAUGGCAACAAGUUCGCAACCCUUUGGCAGCAAGUGAGUGAUCGCGGCCAUAACCAUGCCGUCCAUCUUCAACGUCAGCCAGUUUGACCAACCCUACGACUUCCUGCACAGCAGCACCAACAGAUCCGACUACGACAAGUCAGUCGACAUCCUGACGACGACUGCAGCUUCUUUUAGUCCAUUUUUCGCCGAAAAUACUUUCCCUUCCGCCCUCGACAACGACACAGCGUUGGUCAACUUUUCCGUCGGGAAACUUCAGGAGGGGAGGAACCUGACGAGCCUGCUCAGCAACCCCACCAACCUCCCCGUCCCCACGAUUAGUAAAUACGCCGUGCCCGUCGUCUGCGUCAUGGGCGUCGUCCUCAACUGCCUCAACCUCCGGGUGCUGUCGGAGCGAUGCCUGAAGGAAUCGCCAUACACUUACCUGUCGGCCAUGGCUGUGCUGUGCCUACUCAACCUCGUUAUGAUCUUCAUCCACAACAUCUUCACGAACUUCCUCCUCAUCAUCCGUUUCAACUUGUCUUGGCUGGUGUUCCAGAUUUACAUCUACUACCCAACCAUCAACAUCUGUGCCAACUCCAUCAUGUGGCUGACGACGACGCUGACUAUCGAGCGCUUCCUCUUUGUGUGCUACCCGCUGUGGGCCCGCGCUACGUGCGACCGCCGUGCAGCUAAGGUACUGCGCAUGCGCCACACCACGUGAUCAACAACGUCUGCUUCAUGCACAUUUCCCUCCCGUAAAUAUGAAGACGUGGUUUGAAUGGCGAAGAAGACAGUGUGAAAAGAAAGAUGAAGGUCUGCAUCAUCGUGGCGCUGCUGACGUUGCUGAACAUUCCGCGCUUCUUCCUCUAUCGCCUGGUCCUGCUGAAGCCUAACAAAUAUGCCCCUACCAACACCACCUUCCGCCUCAGCAAAGC